rnacentral:rRNA from 1 species
AGGAUGAACGCUGGCGGCGUGCUUAACACAUGCAAGUCGAACGAGGUCCAUGGAGCUUGCUCCGGACGAUCUAGUGGCGAACGGGUGCGUAACACGUGAGAAACCUGCCCCGAUCUCUGGGAUAACAGUUGGAAACGACUGCUAAUACCGGAUGCCAUCACACCGCUUCAUGGCGGAGUGCUGAAAGAUUCAUCGGAUCGGGAGGGUCUCGCGGCCUAUCAGCUAGUUGGAGAGGUAACGGCUCACCAAGGCAUCGACGGGUAGCUGGUCUGAGAGGAUGAUCAGCCACACUGGGACUGAGACACGGCCCAGACUCCUACGGGAGGCAGCAGUGGGGAAUCUUGCACAAUGGGCGAAAGCCUGAUGCAGCAACGCCGCGUGCGGGACGAAGGCCCUAGGGUUGUAAACCGCUUUCAGUAGGGAAGAAAUGACGGUACCUACAGAAGAAGGUGCGGCCAACUACGUGCCAGCAGCCGG